AACGGAGGGGGCAAGUGUUACUCGUAAUAAUUGGGCGUAAAGGGUGCGUAGGUGGUUUUUUAAGUUAAAAGUUAAAUAAUAGUGUAAAACACUAAAACUGCUUUUAAUACUGAAAAUCUAGAGUUCGAAAGAGGAAAAUGGUAUUUUUAUUGUAGAGGUGAAAUUCUGAGAUAAUAAAAAGACGAUCGAAGGCGAAGGCAAUUUUCUGGGUCGUAACUGACACUGAGGCACGAAAGCAUGGGGAGCAAACAGG
rnacentral:rRNA from 1 species